rnacentral:rRNA from 1 species
AUUGAACGCUGGCGGCAUGCCUUACACAUGCAAGUCGAACGGCAGCACGGGAGCUUGCUCCUGGUGGCGAGUGGCGAACGGGUGAGUAAUACAUCGGAACGUACCCUGAAGUGGGGGAUAACGUAGCGAAAGUUACGCUAAUACCGCAUAUUCUGUGAGCAGGAAAGAGGGGGACCGCAAGACCUCUUGCUUUAGGAGCGGCCGAUGUCGGAUUAGCUAGUUGGUGAGGUAAAGGCUCACCAAGGCGACGAUCCGUAGCGGGUCUGAGAGGAUGAUCCGCCACACUGGGACUGAGACACGGCCCAGACUCCUACGGGAGGCAGCAGUGGGGAAUUUUGGACAAUGGGCGCAAGCCUGAUCCAGCCAUGCCGCGUGAGUGAAGAAGGCCUCGGUUGUAA